rnacentral:tRNA from 1 species
UAGUAAGAAGCAAAAUUUGCAUUUAGUUUCGACCUAAAAAUUUAGUUUAUACUCUACUAU